GAGAAGAAGGAACCGGACGGAGAUUGGCCCUCGAGUGCAAAGGUAGAAGGGAGCUUGACUGCAAGACCCACCCGUCGAGUAGAGACGAAAGUCGGCCUUAGUGAUCCGACGAUGCCGAGUGGAAGGGUUGUCACUCAAC
rnacentral:ncRNA from 1 species